AGAGUUUGAUCCUGGCUCAGAACGAACGCUGGCGGCAGGCCUAACACAUGCAAGUCGAACGACAUAGUGGCAGACGGGUGAGUAACGCGUGGGAACGUACCUUUCGCUACGGAAUAGCUCUUGGAAACGAGUGGUAAUACCGUAUACGCCCUCCGGGGGAAAGAUUUAUCGGCGAAAGAUCGGCCCGCGUUAGAUUAGGUAGUUGGUGGGGUAAUGGCCUACCAAGCCUACGAUCUAUAGCUGGUCUGAGAGGAUGAUCAGCCACACUGGGACUGAGACACGGCCCAGACUCCUACGGGAGGCAGCAGUGGGGAAUCUUGCACAAUGGGCGAAAGCCUGAUGCAGCCAUGCCGCGUGAAUGAUGAAGGCCUUAGGGUUGUAAAAUUCUUUCGCCAGGGAUGAUAAUGACAGUACCUGGUAGAGAAGCCCCGGCUAACUUCGUGCCAGCAGCCGCGGUAAUACGAAGGGGGCUAGCGUUGUUCGGAAUUACUGGGCGUAAAGCGCACGUAGGCGGACUUUUAAGUCAGAUGUGAAAUCCCGGGGCUCAACCUCGGAACUGCAUUUGAAACUGGAAGUCUGGAGUUCAGGAGAGGUUAGCGGAAUACCGAGUGUAGAGGUGAAAUUCGUAGAUAUUCGGUGGAACACCAGUGGCGAAGGCGGCUAACUGGACUGAUACUGACGCUGAGGUGCGAAAGUGUGGGGAGCAAACAGGAUUAGAUACCCUGGUAGUCCAUGCCGUAAACGAUGUACACUAGACGUUCGUGUAACUACGGUUGAAUGAGUGUCGCAGCAAACGCGAUAAGUGUACCGCCUGGGGAGUACGGUCGCAAGGCUAAAACUCAAAGGAAUUGACGG
rnacentral:rRNA from 1 species